rnacentral:tRNA from 1 species
AACGAUUUAGUUUAAUCAUAAAAUUUAUAAUUCUAAAAUUAUAAGAUAUAAAGCUGAAAUCUUUUAAUCGUUU